GGGUGAGUAACACGUGGAUAACCUACCUAUAAGACUGGGAUAACUUCGGGAAACCGUAGCUAAUACCGGAUAAUAUUUUUGAACCGCAUGGUUCAAAAGUGAAAGACGGUCUUGCUGUCACUUAUAGAUGGAUCCGCGCUGCAUUAGCUAGUUGGUAAGGUAACGGCUUACCAAGGCAACGAUGCAUAGCCGACCUGAGAGGGUGAUCGGCCACACUGGAACUGAGACACGGUCCAG
rnacentral:rRNA from 1 species